rnacentral:lncRNA from 1 species
CACUCUGGCUGCUGUAGUUUUCUGAGCAGUGGAAGUUAAAAGGAUUAGGAAGCAAGAAUUCUCAACAGAAGGAAGAGACUCCAGCUUCUCUUCUGCCAUCCUCUCAUCACUGGACUAAUUCAAUGUGACAAACUUCCUGAGGAUGCCCACUUUGAACAAGGACAGAUGUACCAAUGUCCAAUAUUCCCAUCCCUCCAGCAAGAACUGAAGGAUUUCUUAUGGGUACUUCACUGUCAGGCUACUAAUGACAUCAGCCACAAUCUGAUAUGCAAUAGACCUGGACAGAAUUCUGAAACAUGUAGAGAAGUCAAUGUGUCUCUGCAAGCCUGCCAAAUUCACAGUACAGCAAAGAUACAAAUGUUGUCAAGUUUCUCAGAGAGUUGUAGCCUCCAACUUCCUUUAUACCUACUCUGCCAGGAGGGUCCUUGGCUCCUGUCUGAUUCCUCUGAAGCCCUGAC